GGUAAAGGCUCACCAAGCCUUCGAUCUGUAGCUGGUCUGAGAGGACGACCAGCCACACUGGGACUGAGACACGGCCCAGACUCCUACGGGAGGCAGCAGUGGGGAAUAUUGGACAAUGGGCGCAAGCCUGAUCCAGCCAUGCCGCGUGAGUGAUGAAGGCCUUAGGGUUGUAAAGCUCUUUCAGUGGGGAAGAUAAUGACGGUACCCAGUAAAGAAGCCCCGGCUAACUCCGUGCCAGCAGCCGCGGUAAUACGGAGGGAGCUAGCGUUGUUCGGAAUUACUGGGCGUAAAGCGCACGUAGGCGG
rnacentral:rRNA from 1 species